rnacentral:rRNA from 1 species
GACUGCUAUCGGAUUGAUACUAAGCCAUGCGAGUCUUUGUAGUAAUACAAGGCAGACGGCUCAGUAACACGUAGUCAACCUACCCUAUGGACAAGAAUAAUCUCGGGAAACUGGGCAUAAUUCUUGAUAGAUCAUAAUGCCUGGAAUGGUUUAUGGUUAAAAUGAUUCGUCGCCAUAGGAUGGGACUGCGGCCUAUCAGCUUGUUGGUGAGGUAAUGGCCCACCAAGGCGAUUACAGGUACGGGCUCUGAGAGGAGAAGCCCGGAGAUGGGUACUGAGACACGGACCCAGGCCCUAUGGGGCGCAGCAGGCGAGAAAACUUUGCAAUGUGCGAAAGCACGACAAGGUUAAUCCGAGUGGUUUCUGCUAAAGGAACCUUUUGUUAGUCCUAAAAACACUAACGAAUAAGGGGUGGGCAAGUUCUGGUGUCAGCCGCCGCGGUAAAACCAGCACCUCAAGUGGUCAGGAUGAUUAUUGGGCCUAAAGCAUCCGUAGCCUGCUCUGUAAGUUUUCGGUUAAAUCUGUAUGCUCAACAUACAGGCCGCCGGGAAUACUGCAGAGCUAGGGAGUGGGAGAGGUAGACGGUACUCGGGAGGAAGUGGUAAAAUGCUUUGAUCUCUCGAUGACCACCUGUGGCGAAGGCGGUCUACCAGAACACGUCCGACGGUGAGGGAUGAAAGCUGGGGGAGCAAACCGGAUUAGAUACCCGGGUAGUCCCAGCUGUAAACUAUGCAAACUCAGUGAUGCAUUGGCUUGUGGCCAAUGCAGUGUUGCAGGGAAGCCGUUAAGUUUGCCGCCUGGGAAGUACGUACGCAAGUAUGAAACUUAAAGGAAUUGGCGGGGGAGCACCACAAGGGGUGAAGCCUGCGGUUCA